rnacentral:rRNA from 1 species
GACGAACGCUGGCGGCGUGCUUAACACAUGCAAGUCGAACGGAAAGGCCCUGCUUUUGUGGGGUGCUCGAGUGGCGAACGGGUGAGUAACACGUGAGUAACCUGCCCUUGACUUUGGGAUAACUUCAGGAACCUGGGCCUAUUACCGGAUAGGAGCUCUGGCUGCUUGUUGGGGUUGGGAAAGUUUCGGCGGUUGGGGAUGGACUCGCGGCUUAUCGGCUUGUUGGUGGGGUAGUGGCUUACCAGGGCUUUGACGGGUAGCCGGCCUGAGAGGGUGACCGGCCACAUUGGGACUGAGAUACGGCCCAGACUCCUACGGGAGGCAGCAGUGGGGAAUAUUGCACAAUGGGCGGAAGCCUGAUGCAGCAACGCCGCGUGCGGGAUGACGGCCUUCGGGUUGUAAACCGCUUUCGCCUGUGACGAAGCGUGAGUGACGGUAAUGGGUAAAGAAGCACCGGCUAACUACGUG